UGCGCUUACAAUCCGUCAGAGCCUUCGACUUUGUCGUGGGGUGAUGGCGUGCCUUUUGAAGAAUGAGCCUGCGAGUCAGGGACAUGUCGCGAGGUUAACCCGUGUGGGGUAGCCGCAGCGAAAGCGAGUCUGAAUAGGGGUAUCCGCACAGUAGUGUGUGGUGUAGUGGUGUGUUCUGGACCCGAAGCGGAGUGAUCUACCCAUGGCCAGGGUGAAGCGCGGGUAAGACCGCGUGGAGG
rnacentral:rRNA from 1 species